rnacentral:rRNA from 1 species
AACGAACGCUGGCGGCAGGCUUAACACAUGCAAGUCGAGCGCCCCGCAAGGGGAGCGGCAGACGGGUGAGUACCGCGUGGGAACGUACCUUUUGGUUCGGAACAACUCCGGGAAACUGGAGCUAAUACCGGAUAAGCCCUAACGGGGAAAGAUUUAUCGCCGAAAGAUCGGCCCGCGUCUGAUUAGCUAGUUGGUGAGGUAACGGGUCACCAAGGCGACGAUCAGUAGCUGGUCUGAGAGGAUGAGCAGCCACACUGGGACUGAGACACGGCCCAGACUCCUACGGGAGGUAGCAGUGGGGAAUAUUGGACAAUGGGGGCAAGGCUGAACCAGCCAGGCCGCGUGAGUGAUGAAGGCCUUAGGGUUGUAAAGCUCUUUUGUCCGGGAAGAUAAUGACGGUACCGGAAGAAUAAGCCCCGGCUAACUUCGUG